rnacentral:rRNA from 1 species
CGUGUGUGAAGAGCUAGCUCGGGUUGUAAAGCACUUUCAGUCGUGAGGAAGGUAGUGUAGUUAAUAGCUGCAUUAUUUGACGUUAGCGACAGAAGAAGCACCGGCUAACUCCGUGCCAGCAGCCGCGGUAAUACGGAGGGUGCGAGCGUUAAUCGGAAUUACUGGGCGUAAAGCGCAUGCAGGUGGUUUGCCAAGUCAGAUGUGAAAGCCCGGGGCUCAACCUCGGAAUUGCAUUUGAAACUGGCAGACUAGAGUACUGUAGAGGGGGGUAGAAUUUCAGGUGUAGCGGUGAAAUGCGUAGAGAUCUGAAGGAAUACCGGUGGCGAAGGCGGCCCCCUGGACAGAUACUGACACGACUAUGCGAAAGCGUGGGGAGCAAACAGGAUUAGAUACCCUGGUCUGACAC